rnacentral:rRNA from 1 species
AUUGAACGCUGGCGGCAGGCCUAACACAUGCAAGUCGAGCGAGCGGCGGACGGGGGAGUAAUGUAUGGGGACUGCCCGAUAGAGGGGGACAACUACUGGAAACGGUAGCUAAUACCGCAUACUAUCGGAUAACCCAUAUGGGAUUAGCUAGUAGGUGAGGUAAUGGGUCACCUAGGCGACGACCCCUAGCUGGUCUGAGAGGAUGAUCAGCCACACUGUGACUGAGACACAGCCCAGACUCCUGCGGAGGCAGCAGUGGGUAAUAUUGCACAAUGGGCGCAAGCCUGAUGCAGCCAUGCCGCGUGUAUGAAGAAGUCCAUAGGGUUGUAAAGUACUUUCAGUCGGGAGGCGUUACCGACAGAAGAAGCACCGGCUAACUACGUGCCAGCAGCCGCGGUAAUUC